CACACCCCUGAAUCUUCCAAGGGUUAAAGAAGGUCAUAUGUACCAAGCAUAUCAGGUUAGAGGAACAGAAUGGAUUUGAUCAUUUUACCCUAAAUAAAAGGCGCUUGUGGGCAAUAGCUCUGCCAUGGGUACACAUGGGCAGAUGUUUCCAUAUCCGGCCAUUCCCAGAUUUUACUGACAAGCCCUUUUCCACAGGUUCCCAGCCAAAGACGUUUCCCCAGCAACAGAAGUUUGACAUCACUGCUCCCAGACAGGAGAAUCAGAGCUCUCCUCAUUCAGGUCAGGGAUGGACAGUGAGGUUUGGUCCAACCAGCAGAACCAGCCUCUCUGGAUCCUGGAGAACCCAAUGCCAAUGGUACCAAGGGCUCUGUGCCAGGAAGGCAGGAGGCAGGUCCAGGGGGAGAAAGGGAGACUGCUACCUUUCUGGAGUGUAGAAUAAGGCGGUUUACACCGCAGCAUCAUAAAAUGUCCUUUUUUGUAAGGGCCAGAAGACAUGGCUCUGCUGUGCUGCCUGAAGCAUGCAGAAAAACCUCCCUGUAUCGGGUGAACUCCAAGCCUUUCUUCUCCUGCACAUGAACAAUGGAUUCACCCAGUAUUCCCCUCCACUGCCACUUUUAUCCUCACGACAGCAUGCCAGCGGAGCAGGUUGAUGUUAUCACCAUUUCCCAGAUGAGAACACUGGGGCCGACGGGCAGUGACUUGCUCACUGUGGCACAGAACCGGUGGAAGAGCCAAGCUGAUCUCUAGGCCUUCUGGCCAGCUGACCAGUGCGCUCCUUCUCCCGCCUUCUCUCUCAAGGGCACGUCUACUCUCUCUUCCCCCACCACCAUUAACACUCACAGUGCACAGGUAGAGCUUCCCUGUACCAGGGCAGGAUUCUGUGUAGGAACGUUUGGAAUGUGAGCAAUGUCAGAGCCGGGGUUUGCCAUGCACAUCUAGUCGCCAUAAACACUCCCAUCCCUGCCGGUCCUCACCUGCACUGCACUGUGCAAACAGCAGGUUCUCCAAGGGCCACGUCUCCUGCAUGUUACAGUUACAAUAUUACAUGUUACAAUGAGUGGCCGACUCCUCCAAGGAAUAGCAAAUGGCAGCCCUGGAUGAAGAUGCAGCAUGCAGCCCUCACAUGCUAAGAGGCAGCUGCUGUCUUCCAGCAGACAGAGCGCCCUCAGCUCUGCUCCCCACCUAUCCCCUGCUUCCCGUGCCCUAAACAGCCGGCCCUGCUGGCUGUCAUCUUUGACUCUGAGCAGGGCUGACCACUGAAGUGCUACUCCCCUCCGAGACCCGACUCCCAAGUGUGUUGGAGCUCCUAGGGGUGCACGGGGGAGAGGGUGGGCCUCAGUGCCAUCUGCUCCUUCUCUGAAGCGCCUGUAUCCACCCUAUCGAUUAAAAUUAAAGGUGGCUUUCCCAUCCCUCCAGAGACUCCAAUUUUGGCCUCUGUCCCCAGGACUGGAGUGCAUGGGGCAGAGGUGGAAAGAGGCAGGGGAGACCUGGAGAAUGGGGGCGCCUAGGAAAUGAACAGGGAGCUCAAGGUGAGGUCGAUAGAAAACAUGAUUAAUAAUUUCAGCUCUCCUCCUAACACCCUUUUCCCACUCCUUAAAGAAGUUUAAAAUUUUGGGCCUUGAUUCACAGAUAACAGGGGUGCAAGACUGA